GGGGAUUUGGCUCAGAGGUAGAGCGCUUGCCUAGCAAGCACAAGGCCCUGGGUUCGGUGCCCAGCUCCG
rnacentral:tRNA from 1 species